CUGGAUUAGUUGUUCUUAAUGCCU
rnacentral:siRNA from 1 species